ACGGAAGGCAGCAGUGGGGGAUAUUGCACAAUGGGGGAAACCCUGAUGCAGCGACGCCGCGUGAGUGAUGAAGUAUUUCGGUAUGUAAAGCUCUAUCAGCAGGGAAGAAAAUGACGGUACCUGACUAAGAAGCUCCGGCUAAAUACGUGCCAGCAGCCGCGGUAAUACGUAUGGAGCAAGCGUUAUCCGGAUUUACUGGGUGUAAAGGGAGCGUAGACGGCGUGGCAAGUCUGAUGUGAAAGCUAUGGGCUCAACCCAUAAACUGCAUUGGAAACUGUCAUGCUAGAGUGUCGGAGAGGUAAGCGGAAUUCCUAGUGUAGCGGUGAAAUGCGUAGGUAUUAGGAGGAACACCAGUGGCGAAGGCGGCUUACUGGACGAUAACUGACGUUGAGGCUCGAAAGCGUGGGGAGCAAACAGGAUUAGAUACCCUGGUA
rnacentral:rRNA from 1 species